AUUUAGUUGUUGAUGUUUUUUGAUGUGUUGGAAAACACCUAGAUGAUGUUAGGUUGUUAAAUGGUAUGCGUGAAUGAGAAUGAUUAUGGUUAUGAGUUGUGUGAUGAUAAUGAUUGGAAUAAUGACUUGUGUAGAAGAACGAUAGGGAUGAUGUGAUGUAUGAUGAAGUGACACCGAAUCUGGGCAUAAGUGACUAUUGUACUGGAGGGUGGACAGUUC
rnacentral:lncRNA from 1 species